UUUGCGCUAACGAUUGAAACGGCAUCCUUUUAUUGCUAUAGCCAUUUAGCAAAUAGCAAUAAAAGAUAUAGUGAAAAGCGUGUAAAAGC
rnacentral:sRNA from 1 species